rnacentral:rRNA from 1 species
AGUCACCGAAGCUGCGGAUGUGCGCGAAAGCGCACGUGGUAGGGGAGCGUUCUGUAGGCUGAUGAAGGUGCAUUGAGAAGUGUGCUGGAGGUAUCAGAAGUGCGAAUGCUGACAUGAGUAACGAUAAUGUGGGUGAAAAGCCCACACGCCGGAAGUCCCAGGUUUCCUGCACGACGUUAAUCGGAGCAGGGUGAGUCGGCCCCUAAGGCGAGGCUGAAGAGCGUAGUCGAUGGGAACCAGGUUAAUAUUCCUGGACUUUUUAUAAGUGGUGAAGUGGGGACGAAGAAGGCUAGGUGAGCCAGGCGUUGGUUGUCCUGGUACUUGCAUGUAGGGGGGAAGACUUGGCAAAUCCGGUUUUCCAUAACUCUGAGGUGCGAAGUGGUUCUGACCUUUUGGUACAGAGAAGUCAUUGAUGCCCGGCUUCCAGGAAAAGCUGCUAGCCAUAACUUAUAGAGAACCGUACCGCAAACCGACACAGGUGGACAGGUAGAGAAUACUAAGGCGCUUGAGAGAACUCGGGUGAAGGAACUAGGCAAAAUGGUACCGUAACUUCGGGAGAAGGUACGCCCUUUUGGGUGAGGGCAUUUACUGUCUGAGCUUAAGAGGGCCGCAGAGACCAGGUGGCUGCGACUGUUUAUUAAAAACACAGCACUCUGCAAAUUCGUAAGAAGACGUAUAGGGUGUGACGCCUGCCCGGUGCCGGAAGGUUAAUUGAUGGGGUUAUCUUCGGAGAAGCUCUUGAUCGAAGCCCCGGUAAACGGCGGCCGUAACUAUAACGGUCCUAAGGUAGCGAAAUUCCUUGUCGGGUAAGUUCCGACCUGCACGAAUGGCGUAACGAUGGCCACACUGUCUCCACCCGAGACUCAGUGAAAUUGAAAUCGCUGUGAAGAUGCAGUGUACCCGCGGCUAGACGGAAAGACCCCGUGAACCUUUACUAUAGUUUUGCACUGGACUUUGAUGAUGACUGUGUAGGAUAGGUGGGAGGCUGUGAAGUGAGGACGCUAGUUCUCAUGGAGCCGCCCUUGAAAUACCACCCUGUUGUUAUUGAGGUUCUAACUUGGUCCAGUAAUCCUGGAUGAGGACAGUGUAUGAUGGGUAGUUUGACUGGGGCGGUCUCCUCCCAAAGAGUAACGGAGGAGCACAAAGGUACCCUCGGUACGGUCGGACAUCGUACCAAGAGUGUAAAGGCAAAAGGGUGCUUGACUGCGAGAGUGACGGCUCGAGCAGGAACGAAAGUUGGUCUUAGUGAUCCGGUGGUUCUGAAUGGAAGGGCCAUCGCUCAACGGAUAAAAGGUACUCCGGGGAUAACAGGCUGAUACCGCCCAAGAGUUCAUAUCGACGGCGGUGUUUGGCACCUCGAUGUCGGCUCAUCACAUCCUGGGGCUGAAGCAGGUCCCAAGGGUAUGGCUGUUCGCCAUUUAAAGUGGUACGCGAGCUGGGUUUAGAACGUCGUGAGACAGUUCGGUCCCUAUCUGCCGUGGGCGUAGGAAAAUUGAGAGGAGCUGCUCCUAGUACGAGAGGACCGGAGUGGACGAACCUCUGGUGCACCGGUUGUCACGCCAGUGGCAUGGCCGGGUAGCUAAGUUCGGACGGGAUAACCGCUGAAAGCAUCUAAGCGGGAAGCCUCCCUCAAGAUGAGUUUUCCCAUGAAGCCCGUUGAAGACUACGACGUUGAUAGGCAAGGUGUGGAAGCGCAGUAAUGCGUGAAGCUAACUUGUACUAAUUGGCUGAUUGUCUUGACCAUAUAAUCUGAG